rnacentral:lncRNA from 1 species
GGAAUUAAAGGGAGUAAUGAGGUUAGGAGUAUGCAGAGAUCUACUGGCUGGCGUAUGGUAAAUGGGGAGGGACACUUUAAUGGUGAGGAAAAGUAUUGUCUCUCUCUCUUAAAAGAGUGCCACAAGCCCUAAAGACCUUUUGGUCUCUCGUGCAUACAGUAGUCGCUCUCAUUUUGGUUGCUAUCCAUCCUCCACUUUUUUCCUGUUGACCCCUGUUGGCCGUUCUUGCGAUCUUAUUUAGAUUUUGUUUGGAUUUUAUGUUCCCA